AGAUUGAACGCUGGCGGCAGGCCUAACACAUGCAAGUCGAGCGGUAGAGAGGUGCUUGCAUCUCUUGAGAGCGGCGGACGGGUGAGUAAUGCCUAGGAAUCUGCCUAGUGGUGGGGGAUAACGUUCGGAAACGGACGCUAAUACCGCAUACGUCCUACGGGAGAAAGCGGGGGACCUUCGGGCCUCGCGCCAUUAGAUGAGCCUAGGUCGGAUUAGCUAGUUGGUGAGGUAAUGGCUCACCAAGGCGACGAUCCGUAACUGGUCUGAGAGGAUGAUCAGUCACACUGGAACUGAGACACGGUCCAGACUCCUACGGGACGCAGCAGUGGGGAAUA
rnacentral:rRNA from 1 species